ensembl:lncRNA
UACAUGAAGAAGGCACCAGCCUGGACCAGGCUUUUCUCUGCUGACGAGAACGUAAAAUCAUUUCCUGUUGGUCUGUAUCUCACUUGAUACUUUGCUAUGUUAGGUGGGGAAUCUGUCAGAUGGGAAAUGUGACUGCACUGACAGACAAGCCUGUGAACCUGCUUGGUGAAGGCGCUUUAUAAACUCCUGCUAGAGGUGAACUUCACACGUGGAUGUUGCCUCCUUAGCUCCCAGUGCUCAGCCCAGCAUCUCCAUCCAGCAGCUGCUGUUCCACAACGCUUGGCCAGGCGUGCUCAUGUCACAGCUUACUGGGGUGAGAAGGGCCACCAGUGUUUUCUUCUGGCUGGUUUGUUCUCUGUGAGCUGGCAUUACAGGCUGGCAAACUGGGAUGGAGUUUUGCUUUGCUCUGUGAACCAGCAGCAGGCACUGCCUGCUGUGGCUGCUCAGUGGGCUGGCUUCUGCCCUCCCAACAGCAAGCACACAGCUGUCGGCUACAGCACCAUGAAAUCUCAUCCUUUGCUGCGGUGUGUGCUAAACUGCAUCUUGAUUUAUGGAGAUUGUUUCUGGAGAGGCUGUUGUUUAGCAGAAAAUAAAGAACAUCGGACUUCAUAUUUAAUAAGCUUGAGGUAAACAAUAAACAGUGUCAAAUCCAGCA